CAGCAAGAAAUCUGAAGCCCAGAGAACAGCCUGGAGAAGGAGGAGCCGCCAGCUGGCAGGCUGCGCUUCAGAGCUGCUGAUCGGAUCCUGGUAGCCAGGGCUCUGGACGUGCCUGGUACAAAGGGAGGAGCUAAGCCUCCAGAGUCCUGGCAUGGGCAGGUGGGGGAGCCCCAAGGGCCAGCACCUCUGCCCCCACCCCAGAAGACUGCAGACAGCUGUGACGGAUGGCCACCUGGCCUGAACUGACUCCUGGCCCUCUCUUUAAUCCUGUUCUGACUCUGAGAAGGAAGAGGACCUGAAGUGCUGACAGCUGGUCCAAGAGCACACUUUGAGUAGUGAGACUCCGGAAUACUGAGCAGCGAGCACCAGAGCAGCAGUUCUCAUCAAAGGAGGGCAUCAGAACAAACACGCGGUCCUCGCCUCCUGCUCCCUUUCUCAAGACAGAGACAUUCUGAUCCAGUAGGUGUAGGGUGGGUCCUAACACAGGUGUUUCGAAACAGUCUCAAAUGGUUUCAUGCGCCCAUCCCCUUGUAAAAACUGGUUGUUCCUGAAUCCAAUAAUAAUACCUAUGUUAACCAAGUAGUCGGCGUGUGCCAGAUGACUUAAACGCACCUUUCCAAUCAUUCCUCACAACAGUCUUGUGGAGGAGGUUCUGUGAGGAGUCUCAUUCUACAGACGAGGAAACUGGGAGGUGAAGGAAACUGUCAAGCCACAAAGCCUGGACCCUCAGUCACGAUGCUAAACAGCUUCCUUUGUCAAGCAGAAGAAGGAAGCAUUGGGGUCCAAGGACCUGGGCUCAAGACCACUGCCUAACUUCGUGAUCUAAUUAAGUCAGCUAAUUAGGCCAGGCACAGUGGCUCAUGCCUAUAAUCCCGGCACUCUGGGAGGCCAAGGCAGGAGGAUCACUUGAGCCCAGGACUUCCAGACCAGCCUGGGCAACACAGCGAGACCC
rnacentral:lncRNA from 10 species